AGACUUAGAGGAUAGGAAUUGCAGUACUAUCGCCCCGUAAUUGGAAGGAGACGCAAGGUAGCUGCGCUUGCCUAAGUCU
rnacentral:ncRNA from 1 species